GCUUCGCUUCUCACAUCCACAACCCAUGUGCUCUACUUCCAUUUUUUCCUCUCAUUCCUGUUCCAAGCACAUCUGAAGGGCCCUCCAGACUAAGACUCCACCAUGAGCACCUUUCACCUUGCACUUCCCCGACCCUGCUUCCCUUGUCCAGGACUACCAACAGGAUGCUGGACCAGGCUGAGCUGGACAGCCAUAGCCAGGUAGCCAGUUGGAUCCCUCUCCAGUGAUAACAAAGGUCUGGAGUCUCAGAGGGCUUUUCCUAGGACAAGACGUACCUCCAGAUCAAGAAAUUAUUUCAGCUGUGGCAUGAUCAACAAGUUCUGGAGCGGAAGGAAACCUUUCUAAACCACAAAUAACAAAAAACAUCUAUCUAUUAUGUCAGAAGACAAAGUUGUCUUUCUAUUCUCUGUACAUAAAAUGGCAUUGUAAAAUUUUUACCAUGUGAAAAAAGAUCAAUGAGUAUAACGCCAAAAAUAUAGGGAAAAGAUGUAUUACAUAGAUGGGUCAGCACUUAAGUUGUAAUUGUAGCAAAAAUUGUUAAUUAAAAC
rnacentral:lncRNA from 1 species